UGACGAGUUUGAUCCUGGCUCAGGAUGAACGCUAGCGGCAGGCCUAACACAUGCAAGUCGAGGGGUAGAGUUCUUCGGGACUUGAGACCGGCGCACGGGUGCGUAACGCGUAUGCAAUCUACCUUAUACAGGGGAAUAGCCCAGAGAAAUUUGGAUUAAUGCCCCAUAGUGUUAUCGAAUCGCAUGGUUUGAUAACUAAAGUUCCAACGGUAUAAGAUGAGCAUGCGUCCCAUUAGUUAGUUGGUAAGGUAACGGCUUACCAUGGCAACGAUGGGUAGGGGUCCUGAGAGGGAGAUCCCCCACACUGGUACUGAGACACGGGACCAGACUCCUACGGGAGGCAGCAGUGAGGAAUUUUGGACAAUGGGGCAAAGCCUGAUCCAGCCAUACCCGCGUG
rnacentral:rRNA from 1 species